AUUGAACGCUGGCGGCAGGCCUAACACAUGCAAGUCGAACGGUAACAGGAAACAGCUUGCUGUUUCGCUGACGAGUGGCGGACGGGUGAGUCAUGUCUGGGAAACUGCCUGAUGGAGGGGGAUAACUACUGGAAACGGUAGCUAAUACCGCAUAACGUCGCAAGACCAAAGAGGGGGACCUUCGGGCCUCUUGCCAUCGGAUGUGCCCAGAUGGGAUUAGCUAGUAGGUGGGGUAACGGCUCACCUAGGCGACGAUCCCUAGCUGGUCUGAGAGGAUGACCAGCCACACUGGAACUGAGACACGGUCCAGACUCCUACGGGAGGCAGCAGUGGGGAAUAUUGCACAAUGGGCGCAAGCCUGAUGCAGCCAUGCCGCGUGUAUGAAGAAGGCCUUCGGGUUGUAAAGUACUUUCAGCGGGGAGGAAGGGAGUAAAGUUAAUACCUUUACUCAUUGACGUUACCCGCAGAAGAAGCACCGGCUAACUCCGUG
rnacentral:rRNA from 1 species